rnacentral:tRNA from 2 species
AGGGGAGUAGCUCAGUUGGUAGAGCACUGGUCUCCAAAACCAGUGGCCGCAGGUUCGAGCCCUGUCUCCCCUGCCA